rnacentral:rRNA from 2 species
UUCAAGAUUCUAAGAGCAAACGGUGGAUGCCUUGGCAUCUGGAGCCGAAGAAGGACGUAUAAAUCUGCGAUAAGCCUCGGGGAGCUGAUAAUAGAGCUUUGAUCCGAGGAUCUCCGAAUGGGGAAACCCCGCCAGGCCCUUUGGGUGACCUGGUGACUCCCGCCUGAAUAUAUAGGGCGGGUAGAGGGAACGUGGGGAAGUGAAACAUCUCAGUACCCACAGGAAGAGAAAGCAAAAGCGAUUCCGUUAGUAGUGGCGAGCGAAACCGGAAGAGGCCAAACCGAUCAUGUGUGAUAUCCGGUAGGAGUUGCAUGGUCGGGGUUGCGGGACUUUCCGUACAGUUCUACCGAGCUGUGAGGGCAAUGAGCGCGAUAUAGACGAAUGGUCUUGAAAGGCCAGUCAUAGAGGGUGCGAACCCCGUAGUCGAAAUGUCGUCGCCUGUCCGGAGAGUAUCCCAAGUAGCACGGGGCCCGAGAAAUCCCGUGUGAAUCUGUCAGGACCACCUGAUAAGCCUAAAUACUCCCAGAUGACCGAUAGCGGACAAGUACCGUGAGGGAAAGGUGAAAAGUACCCCGGGAGGGGAGUGAAAUAGUACCUGAAACCGUUUGCUUACAAACCGUUGGAGCACCCUUGUUGGUGUGACAGCGUGCCUUUUGAAGAAUGAGCCUGCGAGUUAGUGAUAUGUGGCGAGGUUAACCCGUGAGGGGCAGCCGUAGCGAAAGCGAGUCUUAAUAGGGCGUAUGAGUCGCAUGUUCUAGACCCGAAGCGAAGUGAUCUAUCCAUGGCCAGGUUGAAGCGACGGUAAGACGUCGUGGAGGACCGAACCCACUUCAGUUGAAAAUGGAGGGGAUGAGCUGUGGAUAGGGGUGAAAGGCCAAUCAAACUUCGUGAUAGCUGGUUCUCUCCGAAAUGCAUUUAGGUGCAGCGUUGCGUGUUUCUUGCCGGAGGUAGAGCUACUGGAUGGACGAUGGGCCCCAAAAGGUUACUGACUUCAGCCAAACUCCGAAUGCCGGUAAGUGAGAGCGCAGCAGUGAGACGGUGGGGGAUAAGCUUCAUCGUCGAGAGGGAAACAACCCAGACCACCAUCUAAGGUCCCUAAGCGCGUGCUAAGUGGGAAAGGAUGUGGAGUUGCAUAGACAACCAGGAGGUUGGCUUAGAAGCAGCCACCCUUGAAAGAGUGCGUAAUAGCUCACUGGUCAAGUGAUUCCGCGCCGACAAUGUAACGGGGCUCAAGCACGCCACCGAAGUUGUGGCAUUUAUAUUAUAGGCAGGCCUUCGUGGUCCAGCCGUAUGGAUGGGUAGGAGAGCGUCGUGUGGCCAGCGAAGCGGCGGUGUGAACCAGCCGUGGAGGCCACACGAGUGAGAAUGCAGGCAUGAGUAGCGAAAGACGGGUGAGAAACCCGUCCUCCGAAAGACCAAGGGUUCCAGGGCCAGGCUAAUCCGCCCUGGGUAAGUCGGGACCUAAGGCGAGGCCGACAGGCGUAGUCGAUGGACAACGGGUUGAUAUUCCCGUACCGAUGAAGAACCGCCCAAGACAAUCCAGUAAUGCUAAGUGUCUGAAUCCUUGAUUCGAUCCCUUCGGGGUGACGGUCUUGGCCUAGCACACGACCCUACGCUGGGGCGUUUAGCGUAUUAACAGGUGUGACGCAGGAAGGUAGCUGAGCCGGGCGAUGGUUGUCCCGGUCUAAGGAUGUAGGGCAGAAGAUAGGCAAAUCCGUCUUCUAUGUAGCCUGAGACCCGAUGGGUAGUCCUCACGGACGAAAUCAGUGAUCCUAUGCUGCCGAGAAAAGCAUCGACGCGAGGUUCCAAUCGCCCGUACCCCAAACCGACUCAGGUGGUCAGGUAGAGAAUACUAAGGAGAUCGAGAGAAUCGUGGUUAAGGAACUCGGCAAAAUGCCCCCGUAACUUCGGGAGAAGGGGGGCCUGAGGCGUGUAGGGAUUUACUCCUGAAGCGUUUGAAGGCCGCAGAGACCAGUGGGAAGCGACUGUUUACUAAAAACACAGGUCCGUGCUAAGUCGCAAGACGAUGUAUACGGACUGACGCCUGCCCGGUGCUGGAAGGUUAAGAGGAACGGUUAGCACGCAAGUGCGAAGCUGAGAAUUUAAGCCCCAGUAAACGGCGGUGGUAACUAUAACCAUCCUAAGGUAGCGAAAUUCCUUGUCGGGUAAGUUCCGACCUGCACGAAUGGCGUAACGACUUCCCAGCUGUCUCAACCGCGAACUCGGCGAAAUUGCACUACGAGUAAAGAUGCUCGUUACGCGCAGCAGGACGGAAAGACCCCGUGACCUUUACUACAGCUUGGUAUUGGUGUUCGGUGUGGCUUGUGUAGGAUAGGUGGGAGACUGUGAAGCUCGGACGCUAGUUCGGGUGGAGUCAUUGUUGAAAUACCACUCUGGUCACUCUGGAUAUCUAACUUCGAACCGUAAUCCGGUUCAGGGACAGUGCCUGGUGGGUAGUUUAACUGGGGCGGUUGCCUCCUAAAGAGUAACGGAGGCGCCCAAAGGUUCCCUCAACCUGGUUGGUAAUCAGGUGUCGAGUGUAAGUGCACAAGGGAGCUUGACUGUGAGACUGACAAGUCGAGCAGGGACGAAAGUCGGGACUAGUGAUCCGGCAGUGGCUUGUGGAAGCGCUGUCGCUCAACGGAUAAAAGGUACCUCGGGGAUAACAGGCUGAUCUUGCCCAAGAGUCCAUAUCGACGGCAUGGUUUGGCACCUCGAUGUCGGCUCGUCGCAUCCUGGGGCUGGAGUAGGUCCCAAGGGUUGGGCUGUUCGCCCAUUAAAGCGGUACGCGAGCUGGGUUUAGAACGUCGUGAGACAGUUCGGUCCCUAUCCGCUGCGCGCGUAGGAAAUUUGAGAAGAUCUAUCCCUAGUACGAGAGGACCGGGAUGGACGAACCUCUGGUGUGUCAGUUGUUCCGCCAGGAGCACCGCUGAUUAGCUACGUUCGGAACGGAUAACCGCUGAAAGCAUCUAAGCGGGAAGCCGGCUUCGAGAUGAGAUUUCCAUCCCUUUUAGGGUGAAGGCUCCCGGCUAGACUACCGGGUUGAUAGGCAGGAUGUGGAAGCGAGGACUAAAGACUCGUGGAGCUGACCUGUACUAAUAAGCCGAUAUCUUGAAAACAC